UCUCUCUCUCUCCCUUCCAGCUCCAGCAGAGAGUCUAUCCAAACACACCUUAAACAUGUCGGAUUCAGAUUCCGAUUUGACCUAAUUGUCAUGACUGCAGCAGCCGCGGCAAGUGUACUAUUGAUUUGUUGGCUUGAGGAAAAUAAAAUGCUAGAAGAACCACAACAACAACAAUGGAAUUGGGUAGAUGCUCAAACACUCAUGGAUGAUGAAUAUUGAAAGGUCAUUGAAGAAAAAUAAUGUCACUCUUGCAUCGAUUGUUGUACAAAAAUUUGAUAACCUUUGCAGGUCAAUAGACAAAUACAUUGCUUUCAA